rnacentral:rRNA from 1 species
GACGAACGCUGGCGGCGUGCUUAACACAUGCAAGUCGAACGGAAAGGCCCCUUUGUUGGUACUCUAGUGGCGAACGGGUGAGUAACACGUGAGUAACCUGCCCUUGACUUCGGGAUAACUUCAGGAAACUGGGGCUAAUACCGGAUAGGAAUCCUUGCUGCAUGGUGGGGGUUGGAUAGCUUCGGCGGGUUUGGAUGUAUUCGCGGCUUAUCAGCUUGUUGGUGGGGUAGUGGGUUACCAAGGCUUUGACGGGUAGCGGGCCUGAGGGGGCGACCGGCCACAUUGGCACUGAGAGACGGCCGAGAUUCCUAAUGGAGGGAGCAGUGGGGAAUCUUGAACAAUGGGCGGAAGCCUGAUGCAGCAACGCCGCGUGCGGGAUGACGGCCUUCGGGUUGUAAAACGAUUUCAGCAGGAGCGAUGCUUGUGGUGACGGUACCUGCAGAAGAAGCACCGGCUAACUACGUG